rnacentral:rRNA from 1 species
UACGUAGGGGGCAAGCGUUGUCCGGAAUCAUUGGGCGUAAAGAGCGUGUAGGUGGCUCGGUAAGUCCGCUGUGAAAGUCCAGGGCUCAACCCUGGAAAGCCGGUGGAAACUGUCGAGCUCGAGUCCGGAAGAGGCGAGUGGAAUUCCUGGUGUAGCGGUGAAAUGCGCAGAUAUCAGGAGGAACACCAAUGGUGAAGGCAGCUCGCUGGGACGGUACUGACACUGAGACGCGAAAGCGUGGGGAGCAAACAGG